rnacentral:rRNA from 1 species
GUGAGGAAUAUUGCGCAAUGGAGGCAACUCUGACGCAGCCAUGCCGCGUGCAGGAAGAAGGCGCUACGCGUUGUAAACUGCUUUUAACCGGGAAGAAACCCCAGGACGUGUCCUGGGUUGACGGUACCGGAGGAAUAAGCACCGGCUAACUUCGUGCCAGCAGCCGCGGUAAUACGAAGGGUGCAAGCGUUAUCCGGAUUCAUUGGGUUUAAAGGGUGCGUAGGCGGAGCGUUAAGUCAGUGGUGAAAUCCUGCAGCUUAACUGUAGACUUGCCUUUGAUACUGGCGCUCUUGAGUGCGCUUGAAGUGGGCGGAAUGUGCCGUGUAGCGGUGAAAUGCUUAGAUAUGGCACAGAACACCAAUUGCGAAGGCAGCUCACUAAGGCGAUACUGACGCUGAGGCACGAAAGCGUGGGGAUCGAACAGGAUUAGAAACCCGAGUAGUCC